AUUGAACGCUGGCGGCAUGCCUUACACAUGCAAGUCGAACGGCAGCACGGGAGCAAUCCUGGUGGCGAGUGGCGAACGGGUGAGUAAUGUAUCGGAACGUGCCCAGCCGUGGGGGAUAACGUAGCGAAAGCUACGCUAAUACCGCAUCCGAUCCAUGGGUGAACGCGGGGGCUCGCACGACCUCGCGCGAUUCGAGCGGCCGAUAUCAGAUUAGGUAGUUGGUGGGGUAAAGGCUCACCAAGCCGACGAUCUGUAGCUGGUCUGAGGGGACGAACAGCCAAAAUGGGACUGGGACACGGCCCAGACUCCUACGGGAGGCAGCAGUGGGGAAUUUUGGACAAUGGGCGAAAGCCUGAUCCAGCAAUGCCGGGUGCAGGAUGAAGGCCUUCGGGUUGUAAACUGCUUUUGUACGGAACGAAACGGCGAACUCUAAUACAGUUUGCUAAUGACGGUACCGUAAGAAUAAGCACCGGCUAACUACGUGCCAGCAGCCGCCGUAA
rnacentral:rRNA from 1 species